UUAUGUGCAUUUAACUGCCACUCCCCUCCCCUCCCCUAUACAAUCAUUCAUUUUAUUACUUCAUUUUUUAUUUUUGUUGAACUAAAGGGUGCCUUAUGCCAAACAAAAGCAAAAUGAAUGGUUCUACUGAAGACUGGAGCUUACUUUCAUGGGAAAUGCUUGUACCCAAAGCAAAGUUGUCACCAGACAAGCGUCACCUGUUCUUAAAACUUAAGGACUGUGGUAUAGUGUCUCACGUGAGAUUAACCAUUUAUCCAGAUGGAGGUGUUAGUCGAAUGAGGUGUUGGGGUGUACCUGCUCUUCUUAACCAUUCUAAGCUUUAAUCCUUUUACAUUUAUGUCCCUCAGUCUUGGAGUGACAACGUAAAUGCUAGUAUUAUACCUCCAAAAUUGUGUUUGUCAUGGACUUGAAUUGAGUUCUUACAUCUAGAGUUGUUGUCACUUUAUGUGGAAUAAAUAAAUUUGUUCCAGUCA